GUUUCCAUUGCACAGCUUGAACCAAUUCCAAGUGGAAAUUUACCCCCAGGCUUUGAUCCAAGCACCUGCCGCAGUGUUUUCUUUAAUUUCGAGGAAAUGCAGGUACGUAGGAAAUAUACAUACACAAGUAACAGAACCACUUCUUCAAGAGGUUUUCGGGAGUACAGGCCUUGUUGAAAACUGCAAGCUUGUCAGAAAGGAGAAGUCAUCCUAUGGAUUUAUUCACUAUUUUGAUCGCAGAUCGGCUGCUAUGGCUAUUUUGUCACUUAAUGGGAGGCAUUUGUUUGGGCAGCCUAUCAAAGUAAAUUGGGCUUAUGCUAGUGGUCAAAGAGAGGACACAUCAGGUUUUGGAUCUGUUUUGAAUUAAUGGUUGAGUUGCCACU